UACGGUGGGUGCAAGCGUUGUCCGGAAUUAUUGGGCGUAAAGCGCACGCAGGCGGUCUGCUAAGUUUGGAGUGACAGUUGGUGGCUUAACUGCCAAAGUGCUUCGAAAACUGACAGACUUGAGGGCUUCAGAGGGACACGGAAUUCCGGGUGGAGUGGUGAAAUGCGUAGAGAUCCGGAGGAACACCAAAGGCGAAGGCAGUGUCCUGGGGAGUACCUGACGCUCAGGUGCGAAAGCCAGGGGAGCGAACGGG
rnacentral:rRNA from 1 species